AAAGCGUGCGUAGGUGGUCGUUUAAGUCCGUUGUGAAAGCCCUGGGCUCAACCUGGGAACUGCAGUGGAUACUGGGCGACUAGAGUGUGGUAGAGGGUAGCGGAAUUCCUGGUGUAGCAGUGAAAUGCGUAGAGAUCAGGAGGAACAUCCAUGGCGAAGGCAGCUACCUGGACCAACACUGACACUGAGGCACGAAAGCGUGGGGAGCAAACAGGAUUAGAUACCCUGGUAGUCCACGCCCUAAACGAUGCGAACUGGAUGUUGGGUGCAAUUUGGCACGCAGUAUCGAAGCUAACGCGUUAAGUUCGCCGCCUGGGGAGUACGGUCGCAAGACUGAAACUCAAAGGAAUUGACGGGGGCCCGCACAAGCGGUGGAGUAUGUGGUUUAAUUCGAUGCAACGCGAAGAACCUUACCUGGCCUUGACAUGUCGAGAACUUUCCAGAGAUGGAUUGGUGCC
rnacentral:rRNA from 1 species